rnacentral:rRNA from 1 species
UACGUAGGGACCAAGCGUUGUUCGGAUUUACUGGGCGUAAAGGGCUCGUAGGCGGUUUGUCGCGUCGGGAGUGAAAACUCAGGGCUCAACCCUGAGCGUGCUUCCGAUACGGGCAGACUAGAGGUAGGCAGGGGAGAGCGGAACUCCUGGUGUAGCGGUGGAAUGCGCAGAUAUCAGGAAGAACACCGGUGGCGAAGGCGGUUCUCUGGGCCUUACCUGACGCUGAGGAGCGAAAGCGUGGGGAGCGAACAGG